GCCUCGAUGGUGAAAUUGGUAGACACAAGGGACUUAAAAUCCCUCGGACAUAGUCCGUGCAGGUUCGACUCCUGUUCGAGGUA
rnacentral:tRNA from 1 species